rnacentral:rRNA from 1 species
AGAGUUUGAUCCUGGCUCAGAACGAACGCUGGCGGCAGGCCUAACACAUGCAAGUCGAGCGCCCGCAAGGGAGCGGCAGACGGGUGAGUAACGCGUGGGAACGUGCCCUUUGGUUCGGAAUAUUCCCGGGAAACUGGGAGCAAAACCGGAUAAGCCCUUCGGGGGAAAGUUUACGCCAAAGGAUCGGCCCGCGUUAGAUUAGGUAGCUGGUGGGGUAACGGCCUACCAAGCCUACGAUCUAUAGCUGAUCUGAGAGGAUGAUCAGCCACACUGGGACUGAGACACGGCCCAGACUCCUACGGGAGGCAGCAGUGGGGAAUCUUGGACAAUGGGCGCAAGCCUGAUCCAGCCAUGCCGCGUGGAUGACUGAAGGCCCUAGGGUUGUAAAGUCCUUUCGACGGGGACGAUAAUGACGGUACCCGUAGAAGAAGCCCCGGCUAACUUCGUGCCAGCAGCCGCGGUAAUACGAAGGGGGCUAGCGUUGUUCGGAUUUACUGGGCGUAAAGGGCGCGUAGGCGGAUUUUUAAGUCGGGGGUGAAAUCCCGGAGCUCAACUCCGGAACUGCCUUCGAUACUGAAAGUCUGGAGCACGGUAGAGGUGAGUGGAAUUCCGAGUGUAGCGGUGAAAUGCGUAGA